CUCUUGAGCUCUUGUGGUGACCUGGGAAUCAAUGUGUGAGGUGGUGCUAUGUAGCAGGAACCCCUCUUGCUUUGCAAAUAGUUUUUUGUUUGUUUUCCUUUUUGCCCAAUAGAGCCCUGCUCUACUGACCCUUCAAUGUGCCCGUGUGCCUAAAUAUUCCUGGUCGUGUGAAAAGAACCCAGGUAUUAGCUGAACUAAGGAGCACAAUUCUGCAACAUUUUGGCACCCAAACACGGGGCUUGAGAAAUGAUGGAGUCUUGUUCUGUGGUCCAGGCUAGAGGGCAGUGGCAUGAUCUCGGCUCACUACAAGCUCUGCCUCCCGGGUUCACGCCAUUCUCCUGCCUCAGCCUCCUGAGUAGCUGGGACUACAGGCGCCCGCCACCACGCCUGGCUAAUUUUUUGUAUAUUUACUAGAGAUGGCUAGUGUUAGCCAAGAUGGUCUCGAUCUCCUGACCUCGUGAUCUGCCCACCUCAGCCUGCCAAAGUGCUGGGAUUACUGGCGUGAGCCACCGUGCCUGGCCAGCAUCCUCUAAUUAUUAUUCAUAGUUUGUGAAUUUAGGCCUACGUGAAUAAUAAUAUAAUAUUUACUAUGAUGUUACUAUCUACCAACCUUAUUUUUCUUUUCUAUAAAAUAGGAGCCAAAAUAAUAUUUAUGUCAUACCUUAUGAAGUUAAAAUAAAAUAUAACGAAUGAGGGGCUUAA
rnacentral:lncRNA from 1 species